rnacentral:lncRNA from 1 species
UGGAGUCAGAUUUCCCAUCACAAUCCAUGAGAUCACCCUCUCUACUGUCAUCCAUCUCGCCAUCUCUUGAGUGUUCUGACUGGGCAUCUGGGGGUGUCUGAAGCACAGCCACACUGUUCUGAUUUAUAAUCUUCAAUUUAAGCUUUGGUUUCGUCCGUUUUCUUCUAGGUACUGUGACAGUUAGGCUCUGUAACUGAGACAUGCCGGAUUCUGUCAAGCAGACUCCAUCCUGUGUAUAUGUCUUCGGUGGGUCGUUUGUUGGUGGUAUGUAUGGCCUACAAAUGGUACAGUCAAAACCCAUAUCAGCUAUGUUUUCCACUUCCUCCUCUGUGUUUAAGUUCUGACAGAUUGCAUGCAUCCAUCGAUCGCAUUGCCUACACUGAAUUAUAAGCUCU